UCAUUUUGUGGUCUUGCUUAUGGUCAGUUUCCAACUGCCGUCUGAUUUUGCAUUAAUUGUUAGGGAGACAAAGGCGCCAUGGGAAUCCCUGGAAGACCGGGACUAAAGGGGCAACCCGGAGAGAAGGGAACCCCUGGAGAAGCAGGCAUGUCCAUCAUCGGUCCCCGAGGCCCUCCCGUAAGUGAUUUUCUCUCUAUUUUUGUAUGAUGCAGGCUGUGGGUGACUUACCAAAAAAAGACUAA
rnacentral:lncRNA from 1 species